UUUUUGUCAAAGCACCAAUUGUCAACCCUAUAAUAUCGCCACAAUAUCGUCAUUGAGGUAUUAGGACAAGAAUAUCGCAAUAUCUGAUUUAUUCCAUAUCGCCCAGCCCUAACUGUAUGUAUGC